UUCUGGCUCGCGCAAGACUCACCCUAGAGAACCAGGAUCGAGCAAGACACAUAUGUCAGGGCCAUGCUAUUAGAUCAAUCUAUCAAAGGUUGAUCGGAAUAAGGACUUCUCUGCCCUUCGAGUAUUCUAGAUCAGUAUCCUCAUGUACAGCUAGUGGGAAGGGGAGUCUGCACCAGAACCCCCCUUAGCCUGAGUAUCAACCUCCAAUCCAGCUGCCGCUAGGUCCAUCACAGAUAGACUCUCCCUCCUCCUGAAUGGCCUGUCUUAGUUGGACAACAACGGCCUCGUGGUCUCAGACCAGGCUUCCUCC
rnacentral:lncRNA from 1 species